rnacentral:rRNA from 1 species
CGGAGGCAGCAGUGGGGAAUAUUGCGCAAUGGGGGAAACCCUGACGCAGCAACGCCGCGUGGAGGAAGAAGGUCUUCGGAUUGUAAACUCCUGUCUUUUGGGACGAAGAAUGACGGUACCAAAGGAGGAAGCCACGGCUAACUACGUGCCAGCAGCCGCGGUAAUACGUAGGUGGCGAGCGUUGUCCGGAAUUAUUGGGCGUAAAGGGCGCGUAGGCGGCACUUUAAGUCAGAUGUGAAAACCCGAGGCUCAACUUCGGGAAUGCAUUUGAAACUGGAGUGCUAGAGUGCAGGAGAGGAAAGCGGAAUUCCUAGUGUAGCGGUGAAAUGCGUAGAUAUUAGGAGGAACACCAGUGGCGAAGGCGGCUUUCUGGACUGUAACUGACGCUGAGGCGCGAAAGCGUGGGGAGCAAACAGGAUUAGAUACCCUAGUAG